rnacentral:rRNA from 1 species
GAGAUAGGUAGUUGUUAAGGUAAUGACUUAACAAGCCUACAAUUUUNUUAGUCGAAGCUGAAAUGGUUGAUCGACCACAUUGGGGAUGAAAAAAUCCCAAGACAAGUGAGUACAGCAGUGAGGAAUUUUGGUCAAUGGCCUAACGGCUGAACUGGUAAUUUGGAGGAACGCUGUAAAUCGAUUUAUCGAAUAAAGUUCUGUAUACAUAUUUAUAAUGACAAUAUGUACAUAUGUCUUGACUAAUUACGUGCCAGCAGUCGCGGCAAUACGUAAGAGACUAGUGUUAUUCAUCAUAAAUAGGUUUAAAGGGUACUUAGACGGGAAAAUUUGCCUUGAUUGGUACGAUUUUUCUAGAGUUUUAUGUGAAAAGGUAGUACUCAUGUGUGAAGAGAUAAAAUUUGUUGAUACCUAGGAGGACUGGUAAAGGCGAAGGCAACCUUUUAUGUAAAAACUGACGUUAAAGGACGAAGGCACAGGGCACGAACAGGAUUAGAUACCCUAAUAGUCUUUGCAGAGAAUUAUGAAUGCCAUAGGUUAGAUAGAGGUCAGGUACCUAAACGAUUAAAAUAUGGAGGCUUUUUUUGGAAAAUAAAAAAGAUACAUUUUUAUAGGUAACCGAGAUUUGUCUGUAAUUCUUCUAAACAUGGAAUUAUAAAGAUAGAUUUCUUUAGAGAUCUCGAACAUUUAGUCUAUAAACGAAAGUGUAAGCAUUUCACCUCAAGAGUAAUGUGGCAACACAGGAACUGAAAUCACUAGACCGUUUCUGACACCAGCAGUGAAGUAUGUUAUUUAAUUCGAUGAUCCACGAAAAACCUUACCACAAUUUGAAUAUUAAUAAUAAUAACAUUAUUAAUACAAGCGUUGCACGGCUGUCUUCAGUUAAUGUUGUGAAACUGUGGUUCGGUCCAUAAAAUUAACGAAAACCCUAGC